rnacentral:ribozyme from 1 species
UGCCCAGCAACUCCUAUCCCUACCUACGCGUGGCACCGGCCGGACUGCAAGCAACCUUAGGGAAGAUCGGGUAACCAACCCCGGUGGGGACUUUGGUCGUAGGCUGACAGGGAAGG